AUAUUAUUAUUAUGAGGUUAGGAGUAUUUUAGGAAUAAAACAAAUAGAGUUAUUUUGAAAAUGACUUACCACCUCCUCGGUGGUAAUACUUUUCUUUUAUUUAGGGGAUAAAUAUUAUUUAUGAGAAAAUAACUUAUCUAGCUAGAGAAGUGCAUAGGAAGAUUAAUAGAAAAGUUAAUCAAUUUUUUCGUAAUAUUUACCUAACAAAAAAUGGCCCUAAAGAAAAGUUUAGUAUCCUCCUAAUGUGCCAUGUGUUGAGCAACGGAUGCACCAUGUGCCUCUUUUUUUUUUCUUGGUGACAACGACAUAUCCUUAUUUAGCCACGAGUUUAGCUCCCCCCUCUCCUCAAACGCCAUAUGUUAAGCUCUAGAUGCACCGGCAACCUCUUUUUUCCUUGGUGACUACAAUCUAUCUUUGGUUAGCAGCGUAGAGGGAGACGGACGCCUAACCAGCCAAGCAUGGCUUGGAGAGAUAGGGGGUGGUAGCCCUCUCCUAUUUCUCUCCCUCUACCCGAAGACUACCACCACCACCAUCCUAUUUCCUUCAAAACCCUCUCUUUGCUCUCUUCACCCCUCUUCCCUCUUCUCUCUCCAUCUCCCCACUUUCUUGGAGGGAUUUGAACCCCCUCCUCUCUUCAUUCGAAAUCCUAACCCUAAUUGCUCUAUCUUCCUUCUUUAUCGCUCUUUUUGCUCCAGUCUUUAGGGGUUUCUUGGGGAAAAUCCCAAUAUCGUCAUUACCAUUAAAGAGCUCGCGAAGUCUCUUUACCUACUCUCUUCUUGUGUAGGACAUAGAAGGAGGAUAGAGACAUACAAUCUAUAGAUGCCGAAGGAGGUCUUUCAAAAUUUACAAGGCUGCCAAGCCGGAAUAACUAAAACUCUCACCGCCGAUCCCCUCUAUCUCUCACACUCUCUCCCCUCUAUCUCUCACACUCUCUCUUUCGAUUCUUGGCAAGAUUUGGUGUUUCCUCUAGGUAUUCAAGAGAAGAUGAGCGUUCUAUUCUAGGCAAUGGCUAUAGAAAUUCUAACAAAGGUUACGGCUUGAGUUUUUCUGUUCCUCUCUUCCAAAUGGGAUUACUUGCUAGUAUAUAGUGAACCGAAGCAUGACUGUAGCUCUCCACUACCUAGUUCUUGUUUUUGUUAUUUUUUUAUUUUCUCUGAAAUUUAUAUAGAUCAAGGGGCAUCUAACUAUGUAUGAAUUUAUGUGCAGUGAAUAUUAAGAUUUUGUCCAUUAUCAAUGUAUAGUUGGAGCAUCAUUGGGAUUUAGAGGGUCUCGAGGUGACUCAUAUCUUUAGAGAGGUGAGUGAUGCUAUAGAUUAGGUGGAAUCAUAUGUGGCCAGUUAUUUUGCGAAUACUAUCUAGGAGAAUUUAUCUU